rnacentral:rRNA from 1 species
UACGGAGGGGGCUAGCGUUGUUCGGAGUUACUGGGCGUAAAGCGCACGUAGGCGGCUUUGUAAGUUAGAGGUGAAAGCCCGGGGCUCAACUCCGGAAUUGCCUUUAAGACUGCAUCGCUAGAAUUGUGGAGAGGUGAGUGGAAUUCCGAGUGUAGAGGUGAAAUUCGUAGAUAUUCGGAAGAACACCAGUGGCGAAGGCGACUCACUGGACACAUAUUGACGCUGAGGUGCGAAAGCGUGGGGAGCAAACAGG